UGAGGAAUUUUACGCAAUGGGGGAAACCCUGACGCAGCAACGCCGCGUGAGUGAUGAAGGCCUUCGGGUCGUAAAGCUCUGUCAGAGGGAAAGAAGUGUAUAGUGGUUAAUACCCAUUAUACUUGACGGUACCCUCAAAGGAAGCACCGGCUAACUCCGUGCCAGCAGCCGCGGUAAUACGGAGGGUGCGAGCGUUGUUCGGAUUUACUGGGUGUAAAGGGUAUGUAGGCGGCCCUUCAAGUCGCGUGUCAAAGUCCAGUGCUCAACGCUGGGUGUGCGCGCGAUACUGACGGGCUUGAGGGCUGGAGAGGUGAGCGGAAUUCCCGGUGUAGUGGUAAAAUACGUAGAGAUCGGGAGGAACACCAGCGGCGCAGGCGGCUCACUAGACAGUUUCUGACGCUAAGAUACGAAAGCGUGGGGAGCAAACA
rnacentral:rRNA from 1 species